AGCGAACGCUGGCGGCAGGCUUAACACAUGCAAGUCGAGCGGGCACCUUUCGGGGUGUCAGCGGCGGACGGGUGAGUAACGCGUGGGAACGUGCCCUCUGGUUCGGAAUAACUCAGGGAAACUUGAGCUAAUACCGGAUACGCCCUUUUGGGGAAAGGCUUGCUGCCGGAGGAUCGGCCCGCGUCUGAUUAGCUAGUUGGUGAGGUAACGGCUCACCAAGGCGACGAUCAGUAGCUGGUCUGAGAGGAUGAUCAGCCACACUGGGACUGAGACACGGCCCAGACUCCUACGGGAGGCAGCAGUGGGGAAUAUUGGACAAUGGGCGCAAGCCUGAUCCAGCCAUGCCGCGUGAGUGGUGAAGGCCUUAGGGUUGUAAAGCUCUUUUAUCCGGGACGAUAAUGACGGUACCGGAGGAAUAAGCCCCGGCUAACUUCGUG
rnacentral:rRNA from 1 species